UACGUAGGGGGGCAAGCGUUGUCCGGAAUCAUUGGGCGUAAAGAGCGUGUAGGCGGCCCGGUAAGUCCGCUGUGAAAGUCCAGGGCUCAACCCUGGGAUGCCGGUGGAUACUGUCGGGCUCGAGUCCGGAAGAGGAGUGUGGAAUUCCUGGUGUAGCGGUGAAAUGCGCAGAUAUCAGGAGGAACACCAAUGGCGAAGGCAGCACUCUGGGCCGAUACUGACGCUGAGGAGCGAAAGCGUGGGGAGCGAACAGG
rnacentral:rRNA from 1 species